CCCCAGGGUGCGUGCCUAUACUGCAAGUUGAGCGCUGAAGGUUGGUACUUGUACCGACUGGAUGAGCAGCGAACGGGUGAGUAACGCGUGGGGAAUCUGCCUUUGAGCGGGGGACAACAUUUGGAAACGAAUGCUAAUACCGCAUAACAACUUUAAACACAAGUUUUAAGUUUGAAAGAUGCAAUUGCAUCACUCAAAGAUGAUCCCGCGUUGUAUUAGCUAGUUGGUGAGGUAAAGGCUCACCAAGGCGAUGAUACAUAGCCGACCUGAGAGGGUGAUCGGCCACAUUGGGACUGAGACACGGCCCAAACUCCUACGGGAGGCAGCAGUAGGGAAUCUUCGGCAAUGGACGAAAGUCUGACCGAGCAACGCCGCGUGAGUGAAGAAGGUUUUCGGAUCGUAAAACUCUGUUGGUAGAGAAGAACGUUGGUGAGAGUGGAAAGCUCAUCAAGUGACGGUAACUACCCAGAAAGGGACGGCUAACUACGUGCCAGCAGCCGCGGUAAUACGUAGGUCCCGAGCGUUGUCCGGAUUUAUUGGGCGUAAAGCGAGCGCAGGUGGUUUAUUAAGUCUGGUGUAAAAGGCAGUGGCUCAACCAUUGUAUGCAUUGGAAACUGGUAGACUUGAGUGCAGGAGAGGAGAGUGGAAUUCCAUGUGUAGCGGUGAAAUGCGUAGAUAUAUGGAGGAACACCGGUGGCGAAAGCGGCUCUCUGGCCUGUAACUGACACUGAGGCUCGAAAGCGUGGGGAGCAAACAGGAUUAGAUACCCUGGUAGUCCACGCCGUAAACGAUGAGUGC
rnacentral:rRNA from 1 species